rnacentral:tRNA from 1 species
GGGGACUUAGCUCAGCUGGAAGAGCACCUGCUUUGCAAGCAGGGGGUCAGGGGUUCGAGUCCCCUAGUCUCCA